rnacentral:rRNA from 1 species
GCGCGAAAACUUCGCACUGUGCGAAAGCACGACGAGGGAAUCCCAAGUGUAUGCACUUUUUGUGUAUACUGUUUCUCUGUCUAAAAAGCAGAGAGAGUAAGAGCUGGGUAAGACGGGUGCCAGCCGCCGCGGUAAUACCUGCAGCUCGAGUGGUGAUCGUUAUUAUUGGGCCUAAAACGUCCGUAGCCGGUCUUGUAAAUGCCUGGGUAAAUCGUAUGGCUUAACCAUACGAAUUCUGGGUAGACUGUUAGACUUGAGACCGGGAGAAGCUAGAGGUACUCCUGGGGUAGAGGUGAAAUUCUGUAAUCCUAGGGGGACCACCAGUGGCGAAGGCGUCUAGCUAGAACGGGUCUGACGGUGAGGGACGAAGCCCUGGGGCGCAAACGGGAUUAGAUACCCCGGUAGUCCAGGGUGUAAACGCUGCUUGCUUGAUGUUAGUCUGGCUCCGAGCCAGAUUAGUGUCGGAGAGAAGUUGUUAAGCAAGCUGCCUUGGGAAGUCGGCCGCGAAGACUGAAACUUAAGGAAUUGGAC